rnacentral:tRNA from 1 species
GCCCGUUUGGCUUAGCGGUAAAGCGCAUCACUAGUAGUUUUCCGAAAGGUAAAUAAAUAGGUUCAUGAUGAGAUCCUAGGUUCGAUUCCUAGAACGGGCA